rnacentral:tRNA from 2 species
GGGAGCAUAGCUCAGUGGUUAGAGCAGUCGACUCAUAAUCGAUCGGUCCCUGGUUCGAACCCAGGUGCUCCCA